rnacentral:misc_RNA from 1 species
GCUGCCAUUUAAUAACAUGACAGACAACAUUCCCCUAAGAGUAAAAUUUUUGAAAACCAACUUGAUAAGUGAAAUUGAAAAAAAUGUGGCUCUAUCCAACCUGAACAGGAAAGGGGGAUAGGGAGAGGGAGGACAUCUUUUUGAUUCCUUGAGCUUGCAAUUACAUGAUUGUAUAGUCUUAUUGACAGUUAUAAAAGCAGGCAUAAUGUGAGGGUGUGAUUGGCAUU